rnacentral:tRNA from 2 species
UAGCAAACAAAUGCAUUAGAAUUAGAAUCUAAAUAAAA